rnacentral:lncRNA from 1 species
AGUAUGUUGAAAUCAUAGGGCUCUUUGUGCGAGUGUAGAUAAAGACACUCUAUUCGCGACACGAUGAGAGAAGCACGUCUAUAAACGACUAUUGCAAGUUAUGGAGAUAUACUAUUUAAUAUCAUAAUGAGGCCUGAAAUGCUUUGCUACAAUGCCUCGGCUAGAAGAGAGAGCACCACUUCCUGCAAUCGGAAGCAGACCAAUAGGACAACAACAACAAACCAGAACAAUUUCCAAGAAACAACUAAUUAGAAAAACUCCGCCAUAGCGAAAACAGCAAUCCAAUGAGGGUUUUUGAAAUUUUUUCUGCCACCGGGUGGCGCCACGUAUGCGUCUGGUCCAAACAGCUGUCAAAUAGUAUGGAAUUGUAGGUGCCGAACUUAUUGUUUAUUGAAAUUCUGUUAUAUUGGAAGUGUUAUUGAUUUUAUUAUGGACUACGGUCAGAAUAAGGUUUCCGAACUAAAAAUUGAGCUAAGAGAGAGGGUGCUAAAGUCACUGGUACUAAGGAAAAGCUUGUUGAAAAAUUUUUUAACACAAUAUGAUUUAGUUUUUUUUAUUUACUCAAGCGCAAUAGUAAAACAAUAAUGCAGUGCUUUAAUUAUAAAAUAAAAAAAAACACUAAAAUCGUUCACUAUUCAUAGUAAAGAUAAGCACUUUGACAGUUAUCUGGACCUGACGACUCGGUGCUGCCACCUGGUGGACGCCAUUUUACGAAACCCUCAUU